CUGACCACCGGACGAGCAACAGCAGUCGGCGGCGAUGGCUCCAGACGGCGGCGAAUCCCGUCGGUUCACAGAACAGUGGCAGACGAAGCUCAGCGGCGCAACGAUUCCGCCUGAAUCAACAGAGAGCUAGAGCUCUUCUGACUUGAGCAGAGAAGAGAGGUGAACCUGUUGAGAAAUGAGAAGAGACGAAAUCACGACCGUCCGUCUCAUCGGGCCUUCAACGGCGGCGGUGACUGCGGUCUGUGAUUAAAGGGAAAACUAGGGCUUAGAUCAAAGAAUUGAGGAAUUGAAUUAAGAAGAAGUGGAUGAGAGAAGGACCUACCAGGGAUUUACGGGUCAGCCAAUGACCGGAGAAGGCGGCCGGAGAAGGAGGGCCGAUCGAGCGCCGAUUUUGAAGAAGAAGGAAGAGAGGCUCCGGCUGCUGUUGGGUGCGGUGGAGGAAGAGUGAGAGGGAGACUUGAGGUGAGGGAAUGAGAGAGGAGGCGGAGCCGCCGGCCUCCGGGGACGGCGCUGCCGUCCGGUGGCGGCGGCAGGAGGGCGCAGAGAGCGAGAGAGAGUGGGCGGAUCUUUCAACUGAGAGAGAGAGAGAGUGGCAAAAUGUUACGGGAGAAAGAAGAUAGAAAAGGGUGGUGUUGGGCUAGGUUUGUGUUGGGC
rnacentral:lncRNA from 1 species